UGGUUCUCGCAACGAUGAAGAACGCAGCGAAAUGCGAUACGUAAUAUGAAUUGCAGGUUUUCGUGAAUCAUCGAAUCUUUGAACGCACAUUGCGCCUUUUGGUAUUCCAGAAGGCAUGCCUGUUUGAGCGUCAUUUCUUUCUCACUCGCGCCCGUUUGGGCAGCAGUGGUAUUGGGUGGUACUCUCUCCGGGUUAGCUUGAAAUAGACGUGGUGCGAGCGGUCGUCGCGACUCUUGCUGGAUAAUGUAUUAGGUUCUGCCAACUCGUUAGCCAACAGAAGAAGCGACAGCCAUGGUCUCCACCGACAUCUCUCAAAGUUUGACCUCAAAUCAGGUAGGACUACCCGCUGA
rnacentral:misc_RNA from 1 species